GUACAUAAUUUGUUAAUGUAAGAAGCCCAGAAAGUUAACAAUCUAGUCCCUUUAGGUUUCAGGUUUUCCUGUCCAAAAGAGGCAAAGACUAAGAUUUUCUCAUGAAAACUCACAGAUUCCUUAAUUGUUGAUCGGAGAAAUUAAAAUCAGGUUUAAUUAAUGGCCGGAGAUUAUAGUCGAUGGUCGCCGGAGCCGCGGGAUUUCAAAGCUAUGUUGAAGAAAUUAUCACAUGAACAACUUCUUCAAGUUUUGUCUGAAGGCCUUUGUUCUUACUGUGAAGAAGUUAUUGAGUCUCGUGUCAACAAUCUCAACUUUAUUCAAAAAAGUUCAUCUGAUGAUGCAAUUUCACCUAAAAGAAAGCUGAAUGCUGAUGCUUAUACACCCUUUCCACAAGUUGGCGACUCAACCAACUCAGGAAGGUCGAAACGAUUUGUUAGUGCCUUGUCUAAACCGGUGAUUAACAAACAACCAGCGUCCGACCUUUCAAAUUUUGAGAUUAAACUAAAUGAUGGACCUAGUAGAUCAGUCGUAGGCGAUGAUUUAGUGGAGGAUCAGAAAGAGUUUAUUAGAUUUAGCCAAGUUGGAAGGCGAAAGGAUUUUGUUCACUAUGAGAAUGUUAAUGAAAAGCAAAUAAAUGUGCUUAAAGGGCUUGAGCUUCACACUAACGUUUUCAAUCCUGAUGAGCAAAAGGAGAUAGUCGAACUUGUUUACUCUCUCCAGAGGAUGGGACAAAAGCAACAACUUAGAGCGCGAACAUAUUCUGAACCAAGAAAAUGGAUGCGAGGGAAGGGGCGCAUCACUUUACAAUUUGGUUGUUGUUAUAAUUAUGCUAUGGACAAAAAUGGUAAUCCGCCGGGCAUUGUUAGAGAUGAAGAAGUGGAUCCAUUGCCUCCUUUAUUCAAGAAAAUGAUUAAGAGAAUGGUUAGAUGGCAUGUUUUGCCUACGUCAUGUGUACCUGAUAGUUGCAUCGUGAAUAUUUAUGACGAGGGUGAUUGCAUUCCUCCUCAUAUUGACCAUCACGACUUUGUUCGACCUUUCUGCACAGUAUCUUUCUUGGCAGAAUGUAAGAUACUCUUCGGCACAACCUUAAAGAUUAUUAAUCCUGGAGAGUUCUCUGGUCCUUUCUCCUUGCCUCUUCCUCUCGGGUCAGUGCUCAUUCUCAAUGGUAAUGGAGCUGAUGUUGCUAAACAUUGUGUGCCUAGUGUUCCAGCUAAAAGAAUUUCC
rnacentral:misc_RNA from 1 species